UGGGGAAUUUUGCACAAUGGGGGAAACCCUGAUGCAGCGACGCCGCGUGAUUUAGAAGGCCUUCGGGUUGUAAAAAUCUUUUCUAUGGGAAGAAAAUGACAGUACCAUAGGAAUAAGGACCGGCUACUUACGUGCCAGCAGCCGCGGUAAUACGUAAGGUCCGAGCGUUGUCCGGAAUCAUUGGGCGUAAAGGGUACGUAGGCGGGUAAGCAAGUUAGAAGUGAAAUCCUAUAGCUCAACUAUAGUAAGCUUUUAAAACUGCUCAUCUUGAGGUAUGGAAGGGAAAGUGGAAUUCCUAGUGUAGCGGUGAAAUGCGCAGAUAUUAGGAGGAAUACCGGUGGCGAAGGCGACUUUCUGGCCAUAACCUGACGCUGAGGUACGAAAGCGUGGGUAGCAAACAGG
rnacentral:rRNA from 1 species